CGCCUUUUGGUUUUUUUGUUAUGUUGACUUGUGUUUUAGCCUGUCUUUUCCUUUGUUUUCUGUCGAUGGCCAUGAGUUUAAUGACUGCUGUUUAUUCAGCUUGUUAUUGGUAUUACUGAGGAUGCCGAAUCCCAAUUUGUGAAUGCGUGCGAGCAUACUUUUUCCGGUUUGGAUUCUCCCUUUCGUCCUGGGCGAUUAAAUGCGCCGUUCCUGACGUUUUUUUCCUGUCGCGCCGUGAACUUUCGGUUACUCGGAAGUCUUAGUUGAUACGGAGAUCUAUUACCCGCUACCUGCUUCCCGCUACCUGCUACCUGCUUCCCGCUACCUGCUACCUGCUACCUGCUACCUGCUACCUGCUACCUGCUAUCUACUACUGAUCCCUGUGAUUGUGAUUUGUGUUACUGGUUAUUAUUGUUUGUUUUUGUUUUGUUUAAAGUGGUUCUGCUUGAGGGCAUCUAUUUGAUUAUGGAGUAGCCGGUGCCCUGUGUGGAUUUUGCUCCUCCAUUGUGGAACUACAAAAAUUGUAUUCUUUUUCUUUCCUUUUUUAUAAUUUGUGUAUUUUUUGUUUUGUUGGACAUUUUGUAUUGUUUAUAUUCAACAGUAGUUUGCCUUGGUUGAAUUUGUUUGUUCGUUUCCUUUCCUUUUUCUUGUGACAUUAUUGCCUGGAUUAGUGUGUAAGGUUUUGGUUUGUGUAAUACACAUUGCAUAUACUCAUUUUAUUUUUAUCUUCUUACAGGAGCUGGGGUUCCACGGGUGCAGGAGCUUGAGGUGGUGGUGUCACUUCAUCAUUUGCUGUGGACACGUUUGUGUGUGCAGUGAGUGUGUCGGGGUGUGUGUGUGUGUGUGGAGGUGUAAGUGUGCUUUUGGCUAAAUUCAGCACUGGUGAUCACUCCCGUGGGUGACCUCAGCCCUUUACCAUUGGAGAGUGCUGCCGGCAGUAGGUGAUGAGGAUUCAAUGUGACUUUUAAAUGGUGAAACAAUUGUGAAAAUAAAUUUUGUACUUUCAUGCUUUA